rnacentral:tRNA from 1 species
GGGUGCAUGGUCUAGUAGUAUGAUUUUCGCUUCGCAUAGUUUCAUACGAAUGCCCUGUGAAAGGUCCCUGGUUUAAUCCCGGUUGCAUCCA